GCGAUGUUAGUGCAGUGGUUAGCAUGCCGCCUUCCCAAGCAAUUCGGAAUCAGGCGGAGGUCAAGGGUUCAAACCCCUUACAUCGCA
rnacentral:tRNA from 1 species